UGGAGAGAUAGAGAGAGUAAGGUUAAGGCCUACCAUAGAGAGAGAGAGUAAGGUUAAGGCCUACCAUAAUAUGGAGAGAUAGAGAGAGUAAGGUUAAGGCCUACCAUAGAGAGAGAGAGUAAGGUUAAGGCCUACCAUAAUAUGGAGAGAUAGAGAGAGUAAGGUUAAGGCCUACCAUAGAGAGAGAGAGUAAGGUUAAGGCCUACCAUAAUAUGGAGAGAUAGAGAGAGUAAGGUUAAGGCCUACCAUAGAGAGAGAGAGUAAGGUUAAGGCCUACCAUAAUAUGGAGAGAUAGAGAGAGUAAGGUUAAGGCCUACCAUAGAGUGAGAGUAAGGUUAAGGCCUACCAUAAUAUGGAGAGAGAGAGAGUAAGGUUAAGGCAUACCAUAGAGAGAGAGUAAGGUUAAGGCAUACCAUAGAGAGAGAGUAAGGUUAAGGCAUACCAU